rnacentral:rRNA from 1 species
UGGCGCGUGCUUACACAUGCAAGUCGAACGAUGAUGCCCAGCUUGCUGGGUGGAUUAGUGGCGAACGGGUGAGCUCACGUGAGUAACCUGCCCCUGACUCUGGGAUAAGCGUUGGAAACGACGUCUAAUACUGGAUAUGACUGCCGGCCGCAUGGUCUGGUGGUGGAAAGAUUUUUUGGUUGGGGAUGGACUCGCGGCCUAUCAGCUUGUUGGUGAGGUAAUGGCUCACCAAGGCGACGACGGGUAGCCGGCCUGAGAGGGUGACCGGCCACACUGGGACUGAGACACGGCCCAGACUCCUACGGGAGGCAGCAGUGGGGAAUAUUGCACAAUGGGCGAAAGCCUGAUGCAGCAACGCCGCGUGAGGGAUGACGGCCUUCGGGUUGUAAACCUCUUUUAGUAGGGAAGAAGCGUAAGUGACGGUACCUGCAGAAAAAGCACCGGCUAACUACGUGCCAGCAGCCGCGGUAAUACGUAGGGUGCAAGCGUUGUCCGGAAUUAUUGGGCGUAAAGAGCUCGUAGGCGGUUUGUCGCGUCUGCUGUGAAAUCCCGAGGCUCAACCUCGGGCUUGCAGUGGGUACGGGCAGACUAGAGUGCGGUAGGGGAGAUUGGAAUUCCUGGUGUAGCGGUGGAAUGCGCAGAUAUCAGGAGGAACACCGAUGGCGAAGGCAGAUCUCUGGGCCGUAACUGACGCUGAGGAGCGAAAGCGUGGGGAGCGAACAGGAUUAGAUACCCUGGUAGUCCACGCCGUAAACGUUGGGCGCUAGAUGUAGGGACCUUUCCACGGUUUCUGUGUCGUAGCUAACGCAUUAAGCGCCCCGCCUGGGGAGUACGGCCGCAAGGCUAAACUCAAAGGAAUUGACGGGGGCCCGCACAAGCGGCGGAGCAUGCGGAUUAUUUCGAUGCAACGCGAGAACCUUACCAAGGCUUGACAUACAUCGGAAACGGCCAGAGAUGGUGCCCCCUGUGUCGUGUACAGUGUGCAUGGUUGUCGUCAGCUCGUGUCGUGGAGAUGU